UGAUGAUAGUGCUGAUGAUGAUGGUGAUGAUGAUGGUGGUUAUAUAGAUUAUAAAUAUCGUCACCAUCAUCAUCACCCCAUCAUCACCAUCAUCA
rnacentral:pre_miRNA from 1 species